CCUACGGGAGGCAGGCAGUAGGGAAUCUUCCACAAUGGGCGAAAGCCUGAUGGAGCAACGCCGCGUGAGUGAUGAAGGCCUUCGGGUUGUAAAACUCUGUCAUUCGGGACGAACCGGAGUCUGAGGAAAUGCAGACUCUCUGACGGUACCGGAGGAGGAAGCCCCGGCUAACUACGUGCCAGCAGCCGCGGUAAUACGUAGGGGGCAAGCGUUGUCCGGAUUCACUGGGCGUAAAGCGCGCGCAGGCGGUGAUGUAAGUCUGAGGUGAAAACCCGAAGCUCAACUUCGGGACUGCCUUGGAUACUGCGUCACUUGAGGAUAGGAGAGGCAAGGGGAAUUCCACGUGUAGCGGUGAAAUGCGUAGAGAUGUGGAGGAACACCUGUGGCGAAGGCGCCUUGCUGGCCUAUUUCUGACGCUGAGGCGCGAAAGCGUGGGGAGCAAACAGGAUUAGAUACCCUGGUAGUCCACGCUGUAAACGAUGAGUGCUAGGUGUAGGUGGGCUCAUACCCAUCUGUGCCGAAGCUAACGCAUUAAGCACUCCGCCCUGGGGGAGGUACGGUCGCGACGACGUAGAACGUACGAAGAAGUAGACGGCGUUGAGACGNGCGACGGACGACGACGAGGGAGGUUAGG
rnacentral:rRNA from 1 species